GCGCACAAAAAUAGCAAAGUGACACCUGAGAUACGACAACUUUCAAGCAUUAUCAAGAUGCAGACACAGGAGAUCGGUCACCUGCUUGACCCGAGCGUAAGGGAGAACGUGGAACUCCUGUCCAGGACUGUUGAACGUAUGGAUUCGCCCAGGACUGUUGAAGAUAUGGACCACUGAAUCAUCUGGUUGGCGGUUUUACUAAUAUAUAUGUUAAUACAGCUACAAAAAUCAUGUAUUUACACCCACUUUUGAACUCAGUCAAUAGAUUCCUCAGUGAUAUUUCAUGACAUACCCUGUAAGUCUUCAUUUUAUUUUAAGCAACAUAUAUAUAUAUAUAUAUAACUUUUUAAAACCUUGAUUAAUAUCAUUAGUAAAUUGGCUAAUUGUUAUGUCAGGAGUGGUAAAAAAUAAAUUACGGGUGGUAGCGAGGGAUUUCACUUUAUAUGAAGAAGAUAAUUAAACAGCCAAAUUGCGAGCUAUGGUUACCAUAUCUUAAAGAACGUGCAAGCAUUGAAUAAAUUACUCCCUACAGUUAUUAUACAUAUUUUGUAAAAA